rnacentral:tRNA from 1 species
GGGCAAGUGGUGGAAUGGCAUACACGAUGGACUUAAAAUCCAUUGGCUGCAAAGCCGUAAGGGUUCGACUCCCUUCUUGCCCA